rnacentral:rRNA from 1 species
UUCYGGUUGAUCCYGCCRGACCUGACUGCUAUCGGAUUGAUACUAAGCCAUGCGAGUCUUUGCAGUAAUGCAAGGCAUACGGCUCAGUAACACGUAGUCAACUUACCCUAUGGACGAGGAUAAUCUCGGGAAACUGAGCAUAAUACUCGAUAGAUCAUAAUGCCUGGAAUGGUUUAUGGUUGAAAUGAUUCGUCGCCAUAGGAUGGGACUGCGGCCUAUCAGCUUGUUGGUGAGGUAAUGGCCCACCAAGGCGAUUACAGGUACGGGCUCUGAGAGGAGAAGCCCGGAGAUGGGUACUGAGACAAGGACCCAGGCCCUAUGGGGCGCAGCAGGCGAGAAAACUUUGCAAUGUGCGAAAGCACGACAAGGUUAAUCCGAGUGAUUUCUGCUAAAGAAAUCUUUUGCAAGUCAUAAAACCACUAGUGAAUAAGGGGUGGGCAAGUUCUGGUGUCAGCCGCCGCGGUAAAACCAGCACCUCAAGUGGUCAGGAGGAUUAUUGGGCCUAAAGCAUCCGUAGCCGGCUCUGUAAGUUUUCGGUUAAAUCCAUGUGCUCAACGCAUGGGCUGCCGAAAAUACUGCAUAGCUAGGGAGUGGGAGAGGUAGACGGUACUCGGUAGGAAGGGGUAAAAUCCUUUGAUCUAUCGAUGACCACCUGUGGCGAAGGCGGUCUACCAGAACACGUUCGACGGUGAGGGAUGAAAGCUGGGGGAGCAAACCGGAUUAGAUACCCGGGUAGUCCCAGCUGUAAACGAUGCAGACUCGAUGAUGCAUUGGCAUAUAGCCAGUGCAGUGUCGCAGGGAAGCCGUUAAGUCUGCCGCCUGGGAAGUACGUACGCAAGUAUGAAACUUAAAGGAAUUGGCGGGGGAGCACCACAAGGGGUGAAGCCUGCGGUUCAAUUGGANUCAACGCCGGY